GAUGAACGCUGGCGGUAUGCUUAACACAUGCAAGUCGAACGGACUCUUCGGAGUUAGUGGCGGACGGGUGAGUAACGCGUGAGAAUCUGGCUUUGGGUUCGGGACAACCACUGGAAACGGUGGCUAAUACCGGAUGUGCCGAGAGGUAAAAGAGAAAUUGCCUGAAGAUGAGCUCGCGUCUGAUUAGCUAGUUGGUGAGGUAAAGGCUCACCAAGGCAGCGAUCAGUAGCUGGUCUGAGAGGAUGACCAGCCACACUGGGACUGAGACACGGCCCAGACUCCUACGGGAGGCAGCAGUGGGGAAUUUUCCGCAAUGGGCGAAAGCCUGACGGAGCAAUACCGCGUGAGAGAAGAAGGCUCUUGGGUUGUAAACCUCUUUUCUUAGAGAAGAACAAAGUGACGGUACCUAAGGAAUCAGCAUCGGCUAACUCCGUG
rnacentral:rRNA from 1 species